rnacentral:lncRNA from 1 species
UUUUUUUUUUGUGCUAUAUAGCUGUUUUUAGGUUGAAUUUCCGGCUUGAUUUCUUCUUUCUUUCGAUCUAAGGUAUCUGUUUCUUGCUAUUCUUCUCCAUGAAUGAAGUAUGGGUAGAAUGUUGGUUGAUAAAAAAAGGUAGCUUUUGGACCAAAAGGAGAUGUUCUUUCUCUCUUCUGACUGUCCUGCUAUGUAUAAAGCUUGGUUGUUGUUAAAAUCCAGUAUGCCUUUUGAUAUUGGCCUUUUCGUUUACACAAGAUGGAUGAAUGAAUUGAUUAACCCUCAAUUACUGGUUAAAUAUGUUUUGUUCUCUUUCUUCGUCUUUUUUCCAUGUGUAGGUAGUCUUCUAACUGUCUAUUGAGCUGUAACUUGUCUUCAGUUCUUCUUAGCACUUGUUUAUUUUAAAUACCACUUUGAAAGUCACCUUAUACCUCACCUUCUAGUUUUGAUUUAAUAUAUUUUAUCUGGCAACCAAUUGAACAAAAAUUGUUGAAGGUAUUUACAUUUUUUGUAUUGCUACGCAUAGACACGUUUUAGCAAUACAAUUAUAUUCUUUGUUCCUUGAGUGGAUUUAUUCCUUUUUUUAACAUAUUGUAGAAGUCAUAUGGGCGUUUGAAUUUGGAUUCAGGUUGUCCCUUGUGCAGUACUAGCUCUGUGUAUUCAUCCAACAACUUCCCAUAAUCUAUUGAACCAGAUUUCCUGGGCAUUCUGUGCAUAUCUGGAAGCAGUUUCAAUUUUACCUCAGUUGCGAGUGAUGCAAAACACCAAGGUAAAAAUUACUUAGAUGGCAGAUUUAAUUUUAUAAAUAAGGUUUAUAAGAUCACCAUGUUUAACUCACUUUUUGUGCUUUCAGAUUGUUGAGCCUUUUACAGCUCAUUAUGUGUUUGCGUUGGGUGUUGCAAGGUAAUAAUAUUAUCCCGUCUAAAUAAAACAGUUACUUAAUAUUUGCAUUUCAACUUGAGGUAUUAUUCAAGUAAGGUAAAUGAAAAGGGCCAUACUUUGUUAACAUUUCGUUUUUGACUCAUAUACCAUGGUAGUCUCAAGUUCAACUCUGUUAUAAUUAAUAAUAACAAGAAGCAUGUACAAAUAUGAAUUCUCUCCUUUAAAUGGAUUCUGAAUUCUUCAAACUCAUGUACAAAUAUGAAUUCCCUCCUUUAAAUGGAUUCUAAAUAACCACUCGAUGAAUUCUCUACACUGUUGAUUUUGCAAAUAUGCAUGUUAUGAUUUUCAGGGGCAAAGUUCUUUGUAGUUUGUGAACCUGGGACACAGCACAUGGAGGCUCUCUUGAAAGUUGUUUAUGAGCUCUAAACAGAUUAUGUUUUGAAAAACCCCUUCUAUGAGAUGGAGAUGCCCAUAUGAUUCGAACUCUUUGACAUCAACCUGACACAAGCAGUACAGAAGGAUCGUGUUGCGCUUUUGGGGCGGUAAGCUGUCCUGGAACCUUUAUCUUACCAAAAUGUCACCAUCUCUUAUCUUCAUCCGUACACUUUUGAUGGAAGAUUGCUAUCAAGUUUGUAUAAACCUGUGUAUUGGGAUAUCAUCAAGCUCCUUUGUUUAGCUCAUAAGUGCUGAAUUAUUUAUAACAUAUGAUGAUUUCUGGAGUUGCUUCUCCCAAUUAACAUUUAUAAAAUUAAUGAAAAAAUCCUUUGAAUUAUUUGUUUGCUAUUGUUUUUCAAUCUUUAUCUAGGAAGAAGUUACAGUAGGGGAGAUCUUAUGAAUGAAACAUUCAUAGUGAAUCAUUUGCAUUCAUACAAAAAUUAAAUUAUAUAUAUUAUGAUUUUAGUAUUAUAUAUUAUGAUUUUAGUAAAUUCAUAUAAGAAUAUUUAAUAUUAAGAAUUUUAUUAAAUUAUAUAUUUUUAUCUAAUUAUAUUUAAUAAUAAUAAUUUUAAAUUAUAUUUUGUAGUAUUAUAUAUUAUGAUUUUAGUAAAUUCAUAUAAUAAUAUUUAAUAUUAAGAAUUUUAUUAAAUUAUAUAUUUUUAUUAAAUUAUAUUAAAUAAAAAUUAUUUUAAAUNNNNNNNNNNNNNNNNNNNNNNNNNNNNNNNNNNNNNNNNNNNNNNNNNNNNNNNNNNNNNNNNNNNNNNNNNNNNNNNNNNNNNNNNNNNNNNNNNNNNUUUUAUUAAUUAUAUAUUUAUUAAAUUAUAUUUAAUAAUAAUAACUUUAAAUUAUAUUUUAUAGUAUUAUAUAUUAUGAUUUUAGUAAAUUCAUAUAAGAAUAUUUAAUAUUAAGAAUUUUAUUAAAUUAUAUUUAAUAAUAAUAACUUUAAAUUAUAUUUUAUAGUAUUAUAUAUUAUGAUUUUAGUAAAUUCAUAUAAGAAUAUUUAAUAUUAAGAAUUUUAUUAAAUUAUAUAUUUUAAUUAAAAUAUAUUUAAUAAUAAUUAUGUUAAAAUAUGAUUAAAUUAUUUAUUAUUGAUAUUAAUAAUCUUAUUAAAAUCUAAUAACAAUAACAAUAAUCAUUUACCUAAACAAAUUUCUGUUAAGGGUAUUCUAGUCAUUUUAGUUUUUUCCCUUAUGUUAUUUCACCUCCAUUUCAUUCAACCAAACACAAGAAUACUAUUACGCCUCUAUUCCAUUACAUUCAACCAAACAAUUGAAUUGCUAUUACGCCUCUAUUCCAUUACGCCUUUAUUCCUUUACGUCUCUAUUCUAAUACAGCGAACCAAACGUGACCUAAAAAUAUUGAGUGAAAUGAUAGUAUUUCUUUUUCUUUUUCUUUUUUUUGACCAAAAAAAUGAUAAUAUUUAAAAGAGAGACAAAUUGUAUAAAUUAGAUUUUAUUAAGGGCCUAUUUGGUUCUCUAAUUUUAUAUAAAAAAUUAUUUUACCUCUUCAUUUGUUAUUUUUACUUUUUUUAGUCCUUAAAUUUUUUUUUGUCGUCCUUAAACCAUGUUGGUUUGUUUACUUUUGUUUUUUCGUUAAUAAGAUCGCUUUACCUUAGAAAAAAUAUUAUGAUUAAACUAAAUACUAAUUAAAAAAGGUAAGGCAUACUGACAACUUUAGCCCAUAUAUCUUUCAUUUAUUUAUCAAUUUGAUCUCUUUUUUUAAAUUAAAUUUGACUCUUAACCUUUUAAAAAGAAUUGAAUUGAUUUUUUUUAAUGGAAAUACUAACCAAUACGUUAAAUUUUUAAACAUUGCAGCCCACAUUGCAAUCUAAAUGUACAUCAUGCUAUUUUUUAAAUUUUUAUGAAGCUUUUAUCCUCUCUUUUUAUUAAUAUUUUUAUAACUUUUAAAAUAUAUAUUGACAUGUAUAUAUGACAAACAGUAUCAUGUUAGAAAAAAAGCAUAUGGAUUAUCACACAAGUUGACACAUCAAAAUUAUUAAAGAAUAUUUUAACCAACAUUUUUGUUAAAAAAUAAUGAUUUAAUUCUUUUUAAAAGAUUAACAACUAAAUUUAACUUAAAAUAAUAAUAAUAAUAAUAAUAAUAAUAAUAAUUAAAGUGAAAAAAAACUGUAAAACUAAAUUUGUCACUGUCCCAAAAUUUAAUGCUACAAACUAUCAUACACUCAUCCUUAUUAUUUUUGGAUUUAAAUAGAAGUGCAUCAACAAACCGAGAUAUUAUUUUGUAGAUUAUUCCUUCUUGGCCUAUUACUUUGAUAUUCAAUAGUGAUUGUAAGACCCAUUUUCUGCCCGGCCCACUAGCAAAACCAACCAACCCAAAAAUAAAAAAUAAAAAUUACAGUCCAUAUGAACUACUUGCCCAAACCCAAUAGGCCCAAAAAUCAGAAACCCUAAGCCCACAAACUUAAAGAUUUUCAGCAAACCCUAGUUGCCUCCCCUAAGCCCUGGCGCCGCAAGCUUCCAUGCGUGGCCUCCUCGUCUGCCACGCCUCCAGCGCACGCCGGCCUACUCGCACGCCUCUGCUAUCGUCUGCACCAACGCAUCUGACACCUGUAAGAGCCAAACAACAAAACGACAAAAACAAUAGAAAUCAAGAGUUUGAAAUCAGCUAUAAAGGCCGAAGCUUGUCAUUGUUUUGCUUCUUCUUCGAUUUUCUUUGUAAAAAAUGCACAUCAGAGAAAUAAAAAUUAAAAAAAGAACAAAAGGUCGCUGCUUUCUUCUUCUUUUUUCGAUUCAUCUAUUUAUUUUAUUUAUCUUUGUUUUUUUUUUAAAAAAAACUAUUAAUAAAGAGGAUAAAAAGGGAAAGGAAUAAACUCACCUGAAUCGGCCCCUGCCGUCGUCGGACGCGAGUUUAGGAAGGGGCAGAGGUUUUCCGAUUUCUCUUCGUUUCCCCAUUUCGGAGCAUGGGUCUCUGAACGCGCUCCAAAGCGCUGGUGGGAGACGCCCUCGCAUGGCUCCAGCCACCGGGCGGUGGGGAGGCGUGGGCUUCUGGGCCUGGAACCCAAGCAGAAAAAGGGAAACCUCCCUUUUAUUUUUCUGUGUUCUUUGCAAGAGAAUGAAACAGCAGAAAAAUGAGUAAAAUUUUUGCUUUUAUGGAUGAUAAAACGACGCCGUUUGGUGGGGGAAAUCUGCGCAUGCUUUGCCCUAAUGGGUAAUUUAUGCAUUUAGUCCCUCCAUCUUGCGUUGAAGUGCAAUCCAACCUUUUAUUUCUUUUCGAUUUGGGCCGCGAGUUUUGUUUCUGCUUCAAUCAGGUCCUUUGACCAUGUAUGGUCCUUUGCGCUGAAACGUUGCACUCUAGGACUGGGGCAUAUUGCCCGAUUAGUCCUUCAUUCUUCGCGCGCGCCCCAUUUUAAUCCCUUGUGACCUGUUUAUGGUUUUCGCAAUUAAAACCCCCAAGUUCUGAUUCGAUUUCAGUAUCAUCCCUGGUCCAUUUAAUUUAUUUGUUUGUUUUUUAUUCAAAAAACUCUUUUAUUAUUAUUUUUGUUAUUAUUUAUCAUUUAUGGUAAAUUGUUUUACAUGCUAUUUAUUUAAUUCUCUUAAUAGGUUAUUCAUUUUAAACCAUUAUAUAUAUAUUUUUUAAAUGUUGUAUGUCUUUUAUUUAUUUGUUUUAAACUAUUAUUAUUUAUUUUUAAGUUUUUAUAUGUUGUUUAUUUGAAGCCUUUUAUUAUUUAUUUUUAAAUUGUUGUUGUAAAUUAUUUAUUUUAAAUUAUUAUUUACUUUGAAUUGAUUUGCAUGAUAUUGUGUUUUGUUUACUUCGAUUGUUAAUGUUAGUAUUAAAAUGAUAUACAUUAUGCGUUUAUUGCCAUCAUGUGCUCUUUUGUUUUUGCAUAUUUGUCAUUCAUUAUUGUAACAUUUUAUUUAUAAGUUGUCAUUCUAUGUUCUAUAUAAGCAUCCUAUCAUUCCAUCAUUUUUAAAAUGGCACUUAAUGUAUUUUUAUAUACCCAUAAUAAACCAUUUUAUUUUAUCACAAAACAAAUUCACCUCGUACAAGUGUUGCACAUGUCAUUAUUCAAAAAGAAAAAUUUUAAAAUAAGGCAAUAUCUCGCGUUUUAGGAAAUUCGAAGAAUUGUACCCUAACUUACUGGGUCUCGAUUUUCUCGUUAAACCUAAAUAGCAAAAUAUCCUUUUAAAUUUCCAAACGCAUAAAAUUUCAAAAAUAAAGGUAAUAUUCUAUAUUUAGAAAAUUCGAGAAAUCGUGCCCUAACUUACUGGGUUUCGAUUUUUCUCGUAUUGAACCUAAAUAACUGAAUAUCCUUUUAAAAUUGAAAUGAAUGAGGUUUAAAUAAAAAUAAAAUGCAAGCUUACUCUCAAAAAAGACGAGGUGUCGUGUCCUAACUUACUGGAUGUGACAUCUUGUUACUUCGAGAUAAGGAGGCAUUUUCCAUUUUGAUUUAUUCGAGUAAUUUUAAAAUAACACAAUAAAGAGAGAUCGUAUAUUUAAAUUCUUUUCGAGUUUUUAAUUUUCGACACCAAGACAUUAACUAAUCAACUAGGUACCAAUUUUUGGGCGUUACGAGGGUGCUAAUCCUUCCUCGUACGUAACCGACUCCCGAACCUGUUUUUUCUGAAUUUCGUGGACCAAAAUCGUUAUUUUAAUAAAAUUAAAUCGUUUAUUAAAAACAACCACUUUUCAAGGUGAUCCGAUCACACCUUAUCAAAAAAAAAAAUUGGUGGCGACUCCUAUAUUCGUUUUCUUUUUCAAAAUCCAAGUCGACCCAUUUUUAUCAAAAAAAUAGUGUCAACAGUGAUGUAAAAAUAUUUUUCCAAAUCACUAAAAUUUUGGCAGCUCAUUCAACUUCCUUCUUGGCCUAUUACUUUCUACCUGCAACCUUUGUUCCCCACAUUCUUUUCUUGCGAAGCCAAAACAACUACGAAACAAGUGACGAUGAAGAGUUUGAAGAAGAAGAAAAUGGGUAGGAUGGAGACCCCAUGGCUACCACGCCACUUAUAAGACCCAAGUCGAGAUCUGGUAAUUGGACGUCGAACGACAAUAACCACUUAACCAGCUCCUUUUUUCACAUUGCUCAUUUGGGGUUUUUUGGUUUUAAAAUUUGUUAAGUAACUAAAUCUUAUGAAUCUGUUGAUUUUGGGAUUUUCUAUUUCUUUUAUGAACAGAUUUAGAGAAUCAAAUGGAGGGAAAUGUUUAUUCCAACAUUAAAAAAUUACUAUUUUUUAAAUAAGAAAAUAUUGCUACUAUUCUUGAAAUUGUAUUUGAAUGUUUGAUUAUUAUGUUCUCUUGUUUGUCCAAAAGGAGAUUUUUAUUUUAUGAAUGCGUUGAUUAAAACUGUAGGAGAAAGUGACGAUCCGAUUACUUUAGCCAUGUUAGAUGAAGAAAAUAUAUGCUUAAAUGCUUUUUUCAUAUUUAAAAUCUGGGUAGGAAGAGGAAAAACAAAAAUGUAACAGGCAAGAAGGAAGGUGAGUGAGACGGCAAUAUAUUUUAGUGAUGCGUAAAAAUAUUCUUACACUGUAAUUCAUUAUUAAUGGUACAUACAUAAUAAUUUCAGAAAAUUUCGAAAAGUUAAAAAUAAUUUAAUUGUUGUGUUUGAAUAAUUUUUCUUUCACAAAUUAAAAAAUUGGGAUCACCCGAAUUAAGAUAUCUUUUUUAUUUAAUUUAUAAUUAAUUUUAUUUUUUUAUGAUGUAAAAAUAAAUAUAAAUCAGUGAAAAUAACUUUAAAAUAUUAUAUAAAAGUUAUUGUUUAAAAAAUAGUAUAUAAGAUUUAUUGAUUAUUUAUUAUUUACUUGAAAAAUAAUUUUAAAAAACAUUUAUAAAAAGAUUCUAAAUUUUUAUCAAAUAAUAUUAAAAAAUUUAAAAAAAAAGAAAAACUAAUUUUGUCAAAAUAAAAUUCAAAAUGUAAAAUUAAGAUUAAAAAACUAAAAAUCAAACCAUUAAAAAAACUCAAUUAAAUCAAAUAGAAUCAACUCAAUCCUGUUUAAUAAUUAGAAUGUUUACUGGGUGAAUCUUAAUUCAUUUGAUAUUAAUAUUAUUAUCUAAAAUUGUAUUUAGGAGUUGGAAUGGAUACUUUUUUUAUACCUACAAACGUAAAUAAACUAAGAAAAAAAGUGCGCAUUGCAUGCUUGUAUAUUUCAACAAAAAGAAAAUAUUAUAUCUCCAACAUUAAGCAAGUUCUUCUUCCCCUCACAUUUGUUCACCCAUAAUGGGAACAUCGGUGUAUCUUUUAUUGAUAACUGUGAUCCAACCAAAAGAAAAAGCAGGAGAUUGAUUUAUUAGUAGACUAAGACGUAGCGACAUAUAUGCAUCAUAGUUGAAAGGGAUACAGGGAAACCAUACGUACAGCAAAAAGCAAAGUAAGAAACAGAUAAGACUCCACAAAAGUAGCAACCUUUACGAUUCGAAUAAUGAAUAGGGCGUUUACUGUCAUAGAUAGGUUGAUAAACAUCAAUGUUUUUUACAAUAAGGGCUAUUACCGUUACAAUUAGUAUUAUGUUUAUCUGGCUUUGGUGGUGGAAGACAAUUCGAAUAACUAGGACCGCAGUUCUUCUGACUUAUUGCCGGCUUACCCUUUGUAAGCGUGCCGUAAGCUAUUUUACCGACAUUUUUAACGUCCCCGAGGAUUCUGAUAACGGUAGAAUCUAUCAUCAACAAAUCCAGCUCCGACUCCAAUUCUUCCCGGAUACCGCAGCCGCCGAGAAGGCCAUUGCACUGGUAAGUGGCGUUGCUCCUCAGUACUAGGACGGCGUCUCUGCCGCUAAUUGGUUUCAGGAGAAUCAUCAUCAUCACUAACCCCACACAUAACUCACGAAACCCCAUUUUCUUUUUCCUUUGUUUCUCCUCGCCCCGGAAUAGGAAAGCGGCCUGCCC